rnacentral:tRNA from 1 species
GCCUGUAUAGUUAUAAUGGUAAAACACUUCUUUGGUAUGGAUGAGUUGUGGGUUCGAUUCCCACUAUGGGCU